GGAAUCUACAUGUGUAAAUUAUUAGUCAAGCAGAGCUAUAAUUUAAUAAGCUCUUGGUUGCAAAAAAUAUCAUGAAUGAUAGAAGGGAACAAGAUGGUAACCAGAAAACUCAGGAGAAAAAUAGUGAGGGAUAAGAUGACUGCCAUGUCCAGUAACCUGUCUCGUAAUAGAUGUUGUUGGAGGACCGUUGAAUGAACAUUACAACUCAGAGUGUCUGCUCUUCUCUUCCUCAAUCUCUAAUACUUCAUCAAAAGGAGGGUCACCUGGUCUUCGAAAUAGUUGGUCUCCUAUGUUAAUCUCAUAUGCUUCUUCUUGUUCCAGCAAAAACUUUUUCAACUCUGUUGUGUCUCGACCUUUUUC
rnacentral:misc_RNA from 1 species